CGUGACCUACCCUGUAGUUCCGGGCUUUUGUUUAUAGUGCAUUCAAAUGCCAUUCUCAAUUAUCAGAAGCUCGUCUCUACAGGUAUCUCACAG
rnacentral:pre_miRNA from 11 species